AUGUUCCCACGCAGCUACCCUUCCCCUUAAUGAUUUUGCACAGGCCCCAAAGCAAUGCUGUCUUACCUGCGUGCUCAGCUGCGGAAAGCGGAGAAGUGCAAGCUGAUGAAGAUGAUCAUCGUGGGUCCCCCGCGCCAGGGCAAGUCCACCCUCCUGGAGAUCUUACAGACGGGGAGGGCCCCCCAGGUGGUGCACGGAGAGGCUACCAUCAGGACCACCAAGUGGGAGCUCCAGAGGCCGGCUGGCUCGAGAGCCAAGUAGGUUGAGUCCGUGGAGUUCAACGUCUGGGACAUCGGGGGACCGGCCAGCAUGGCCACUGUCAACCAGUGCUUCUUCACGGACAAGGCCCUGUACGUGGUGGUCUGGAACCUGGCGCUGGGGGAGGAGGCCGUGGCCAACCUCCAGUUCUGGCUGCUCAACAUCGAGGCCAAGGCCCCAAAUGCCGUGGUGCUGGUGGUCGGGACGCACCUGGAUUUAAUUGAAGCCAAGUUCC
rnacentral:sRNA from 1 species